CCAAGGGUGAGGCUGCUCGCCUAUUAAAAGGGAACAUGAGCUGGGUUUAGACCGUCGUGAGACAGGUCGGUCUCUGCCUGAUGGAAGCGCGAAUAACUGAGGGGAAGUUGCUCCUAGUACGAGAGGAACAGAGCAGCGUCGCCACUGGUUUACCGGUUGUCUGAUAAGGCAGGCCGGGCAGCUAAGCGAUUUAGGCUAAGUGCUGAAAGCAUCUAAGCACGAAUCCUAUCCCGAGACAAGUUAUUCUUUCGUAAGAUGAAGGUCGGCAGCAGAAGACUGCGUUGAUAGGAAGGUGGUGUAGAUCACAAGCUUCGGCGAGUGGUGAGCCAGCCUUUACUAAUAGACCAACACAUCGGUUCA
rnacentral:rRNA from 1 species